rnacentral:rRNA from 1 species
AUGGCCUCCAGUGAGCUGCCGCCGUCGCAGAAGAAAUCCAGUCCCACCACCAUAUGCGCCCUCGGCGACGACCUCCUGCGCGAGGUGUUGCUCCGACUGCCCUCCCUCCCGACCCUCGUCCGCGCCGCGCUGACCUGCCCCACUUUCCUCCACGCCGUCCGUUCGUCCCCCGCGUUCCGCCGCCGCUUCCGCGACCUCCACCCGGCCCCGCUCCUGGGCGUCUUCCUCGACAUCUACGGGCCCGCCAUGCCCGCCUUCGUGCCCGUCCGCCGCCGGUCUGACCCGGACCACGCCGCGGCCGUCCGCCGCGCCGACGUCUUCCUCACCCGGGUCCCCGAAGACGAACAAGAAGGCGAAGGUGAAGGCGAAGGGGAAGAAGAAGAAGGCGAAGACGAACUGGAAGACAGAUACGUGGACGGCCCCGGAUGGUCGAUGACCGAGUGCCGCGAUGGGUACGUGCUUCUCUACCACCUGCUCACCAAGCGGGCGGCCGUCUACGACCCCCUCACGCGGCGCCUGCAUCUUCUCUCACCGCCGCACGCAGAGAUCUGCGCCGAAGACCCCGAAGUGGCCGAGGUUGAGUUCCACGUCCUCACCUCCCAAGAGGACCGCCGGUCGCUCCGCCUGCUCUGCAUCUAA